rnacentral:rRNA from 1 species
GACGAACGCUGGCGGCGUGCCUAACACAUGCAAGUCGAGCGGAAAGGCCCUUCGGGGUACACUAUCGCCUAACGGGUGAGCAACACGUGAGUAAUCUGCUCACCACUCCGUGAUAACUGCGGGAAACCGGGGCUAAUACCGUAUAUGCCCACUUUAGGCAUCUGAUGGUGGUGCAAAGUUCGAGCCGUGAUUGAUUGUCUCGCGGCCUAUCAGCUGGUUGGUGGGGUAGUGGCCUACCAGGGCUUGGACGGGUAGGCGGCCUGGGAGGGUGAACGGCCACACUGGGACUGAGAGACGGCCCAGAAGCCUACGGGAGGCAGCGGUGGAGAAUAUUGGACAAUGGGCGAGAGCCUGAUCCAGAGGCGCCGGGAGAGGGAUGACGGCCUUCGGGUUGUAAACCUCUUUCAGCAGGGACGAAGCGGAAGUGACGGUACCUGCAGAAGAAGCACCGGCUAACUACGUG